UUCCCCUACUGGCAAACUUGUCCGAAAGGCAAGGGCGCAAAGCCACGGGCCUAAAGCAUGAAUUCAUGCGAUGGCAGCCGGGCUGCCGAA
rnacentral:ncRNA from 1 species